GGGCAACCGUGGCUUUCGACUGUUACUGUGGGAACCGGAGGUAACAGUCUACAGCCAUGGUCGCCC
rnacentral:miRNA from 1 species